UUGCUGAUGGUCCAGUGGCUAAGAUUCUGAGCUCCCAAUACAGUAGACCCAGGUUCAAUCCCUGGUUGGGGAA
rnacentral:tRNA from 1 species